AUCGCUUCUCAGCCUUUUGGCUAAGAACAAGUGUAGUAUCUGUUCUUACCAGUUUAAUAUCUGAUACGUCCUCUAUCCGAGGACAAUAUAUUAAAUGGGUUUUUGGAGCAGGGAGUUGGAAUAGGCGCUUGCUCUGUCCACGGCACGCGUCAGCCUGGUAUUGCAGUGCUUUCAGGAACGGUGCACCCCUC
ensembl:snRNA U2 U2 spliceosomal RNA